rnacentral:rRNA from 1 species
GAUGAACGCUGGCGGCGUGCCUAAUACAUACAAGUCGAGCGAACAGAUGAGGAGCUUGCUCCUCUGACGUUAGCGGCGGACGGGUGAGUAACACGUGGAUAACCUACCUCUAAGACUGGGAUAACUUCGGGAAACCGGAGCUAAUACCGGAUAUUAUAUUGAACCGCAUGGUUCAAUAGUGAAAGACGGUUUUGCUGUCACUUAUAGAUGGAUCCGCGCCGCAUUAGCUAGUUGGUAAGGUAACGGCUUACCAAGGCAACGAUGCGUAGCCGACCUGAGAGGGUGGUGGGCAACACUGGAACUGAGACACGGUCCAGACCACUACGGGAGGCAGCAGUAGGGUAGCUACCGCAAUGGGCGAAAGCUUGACGGGACAACGCCGCGUGAGUGAUGAAGGUCUUCGGAUCGUAAAACUCUGUUAUUAGGGAAGAACAAAUGUGUAAGUAACUAUGCACGUCUUGACGGUACCUAAUCAGAAAGCCACGGCUAACUACGUG